rnacentral:rRNA from 1 species
CCUACGGGAGGCAGCAGUGGGGAAUAUUGUACAAUGGGGGAAACCCUGAUGCAGCAACGCCGCGUGAGUGAAGAAGCAUUUCGGUAUGUAAAGCUCUAUCAGCAGGGCAGAAGAUGACGGUACCUGCUUAAGAAGCACCGGCUAACUACGUGCCAGCAGCCGCGGUAAUACGUAGGGGGCAAGCGUUAUCCGGAUUUACUGGGUGUAAAGGGUUCGCAGACGGCAGGGCAAGUCUGGUGUUAAAGGCCCAGGCCCAACCCCUGUACUGCUCUGGAUCCUUGGAGGCUAGAGUGCUGUAGGGGCAGGCGGAAUUCCUAGUGUAGCGGUGAAAUGCGUAGAUAUUAGGAGGAACACCAGUGGCGAAGGCGGUCUGCUGGGCAGUAACUGACGCUGAGGCUCGAAAGCGAGGGUAGCAAAUAGGAUUAGAUACCCUAGUAGUC